rnacentral:misc_RNA from 1 species
GUCCUCUUUUCGCCCAAUACAAUGCCCCAAUCAAACCACUAAUCUCCAUUUCCUUCUCUAAUCCUUCCUCUCUCACCUUCCAUGGCUUCAAUUCCUUUUUCUUCUCUCUGCCUCACCAGAAUUCCUGUUCCUCCCGGAAUCGGAUCUCCAUCCUCCCACAGAUUCAAUUUCACUACCUUCCCAAUCGGAUUCGGAAACGAAUCGCCGGCCACUAAGAGAAUUGGGUCUUCCGUUUGCAGAGCUGCCUCCCUCGCCUUUCGCGACCUUGAUGCCGACGAUUUUCGUCAUCCUCUCGAUAAGCAGAACACA